rnacentral:siRNA from 1 species
AUGUGUGUAGACUGCCGUGCAAU